rnacentral:misc_RNA from 1 species
AAAGUCGUAACAAGGUUUCCGUAGGUGAACCUGCGGAAGGAUCAUUAACAAUUCGCGCUCCGGCGUGAUGCGUAUACCCUGCACUUUGAGCACCUUUUAUACUCCCCCCGGCGGGGCAACCCGCCGGACGGGACAACCCGCCGGACGGGACAACCACAAAACCCUUUGCAUUAGAAAUCAUGUCAGUACAAAACAAAAUAAAUUAAAACUUUCAACAAUGGAUCUCUUGGCUCUG